AUACUUACCUGGCAGGGGAGACACCAUGAUCAAGAAGGUGGUUUACCCAGGCUCCGAAGACUUCCCUUUAAAGCUUUUGACUUGAUUUACCUUUGGGGAUUUGAGAGAUAGAAUGGCAAAGCAAGGACAAUGGCGGAAUGCUGCUCGAUUUGUGUUAUUGGAGGAUCUGGAAAUGGACUGUCUGUC
ensembl:snRNA U1 U1 spliceosomal RNA